ensembl:ncRNA lncRNA:CR43715 long non-coding RNA:CR43715
ACAGUUCGCCGCGGGUCGAUAAUGCCGAUCGAUCGAUUGGCUGAAUGACACCGAACCGCUGGCGCUGACCAAGCGCGACCUUUUGUCACUUCAUAGUCGGCGGCAUCAAGGGGUCAUGGAGGGGCGUGGCACGGAUGGGGGCUGGGAAGGAUGAGGUGACGGACGCACCUUAGACGCUGACGCCGACUUCCGUUUGGCAUUGAAGCGCAACCGUUUCCAUUUCAUCGAAAGAGUUAAACAAGUAGAACCCAGCUCAUUUAAGGAUAAGACUAAGUAGUACCCUCUUUCUUAGCUCUGAAAAUAUUUGUAUAACUGAAUUUAAAUAAUUCUGUUCACUAUGCUUGAUAUAUGGUAGCCCGUAAGUACACAAUAUGCUCAACAUGUUUGAAUAACAUAAACAAAAAAGGUUGUAUCAUUUUAUAUUCUUUUAAUAUACUCCUUGUAUACCCUGUACUCAGUAGAAGAGUUAAACUGAAUGGCAACAAUUUGAGUGCCUAAUGACGCAGAGUAAUGAAGUCGCCGCCGCGCCUCCAAAGGCAGGCUGAGUCUCUGAAAACCCGG